CUUGUUAUUGGGGGUUUUUUGGACACAAAAAGAAGAAAGGUUGAGUAUUGGUGUAUCACUGUGGCAGGAACCAGGGGAGGCAGUCUGUGCAUAGCAGUGCAACUAUGGCUAAAGUGCAAUGGUCCACACAUAAGCAAAAGGGGGGAAAACGAAUCGGGGCGUUCUCACAAGAUCACAGAGGGAAGAGCAACAAAGCAAGAAAAAAAAGACAGUUCCUGCAGUGAAAAGAAAAAGGAGCAACACGAGUGAAGGAGCAAGAGGAUAUUGAAGCAACAAUUUAUUGUGCAAAAUGGCUUUCUAUGGUUGGUGGAUCUAACAUAGGAGAACAACAAAAUGAAGAGAGUGGUCAAGAACUGCCAACAUCACGCGGAGGAUCAUCACUUGAUAGUAAUUUUCAUGGAGUUUGAAGUACAUGUUAUGAUAUUCCAAGACUUAGUUAGAUUAAUUUGACUUAUCUCUUACAUAUGUUAAGAUUUUUUCAAUCCUUCAUUUUGCAAUUUAUAAUUUGUAAUUUGCAUUGCAACAUACUAUUUCCUUGCUUAUUGCCUAAAAGUAUAUGGGAUUUUGUAGUGUUGUUUGGUGUAGUUAAUGGUAGAGUUAAUGAAAAUCUUGAUCACUUUUUUAUGGA